rnacentral:tRNA from 1 species
GCCUGAGUGGCUCAGUGGUUGAGCAUCUGCCUUUGACUCAGAUUAUGAUCCUGGGGUCCUGGGAUCAAGUCCCACAUCAGGCU